UACGGAGGGUGCAAGCGUUGUCCGGAAUCAUUGGGUGUAAAGGGUGCGCAGGCGGGCGCCUAAGUCGGAGGUGAAAUCUUGCCGCUUAACGGUAAAAUGGCCCCCGAUACUGGGCGUCUUGAAUCUGACAGAGGUCGGUGGAAUUCGUGGUGUAGCGGUGAAAUGCGUAGAGAUCGGGAGGAAUACCAGUGGCGAAGGCGGCUUUCUGGUCUGUAUCUGGCGCUGAGGCACGAAAGCGUUGGGAGCGAACAGG
rnacentral:misc_RNA from 1 species